AUUGAACGCUGGCGGCAGGCCUAACACAUGCAAGUCGAACGAGCGGCGGACGGGUGAGUAAUGCUUGGGAAUCUAGCCUAUGGAGGGGGAUAACUACGGGAAACUGUAGCUAAUACCGCGUACCAUAGGAUGAGCCCAAGUGGGAUUAGGUAGUUGGUGAGGUAAAGGCUCACCAAGCCGACGAUCUCUAGCUGGUCUGAGAGGAUGAUCAGCAACACGGGUACUGAGAGACGGCCCAGACUCCUACGGGAGGCAGCAGUGGGGAAUAUUGCAAAAUGGGCGCAAGCCUGAUGCAGCCAGGCCGCGUGUGUGAAGAAGGCCUUCGGGUUGUAAAGCACUUUCAGCGAGGAGGCGUUACUCGCAGAAGAAGCACCGGCUAACUCCGUGCCAGCAGCCGCGGUAAUUC
rnacentral:rRNA from 1 species